rnacentral:lncRNA from 1 species
UGAUUCAACAUUCGAGCACGUUUGGAAACUUUUGAAGAUUAUAACCCAUUGGUUCGUGAAGAGGGAUAUGAGGAGGCGAUAUAUGAUUUUGACAGAAUCUUUGAUAUAAGAUUCAAAGACCUUGAUAGGGAUUCGAGCGAUGGGAUUUGGGGUUUUGAAAGAGUAGAAGAAGGAUAGCUCAGGGUGUAUUUUUGGUGAAGUUUGGAGGCAGCUCCGCCUCACAAGGCAGAGGCAGCGGCCGUAUCUUUACAGAUUCGAGGGGUUUGGUUGGUAUUUGAGAGAAAUCAACCAUUGAUUUGUAUUGAGGGAGCAAAGAUGGUUCUGCGGUGUAACUUUGGGGGCUAUUGGAGACCGGCCACCGGUAGAGGCAAUUUCUGGCCGCCGACGUUACAGGUUCUGGUUUGGGUGAGGAGGACGAAUGCUUUGGGUUAGGGGUGGG